rnacentral:rRNA from 1 species
GUGCCUACGGGAGGCAGCAGUGAGGAAUAUUGGUCAAUGGGCGGAAGCCUGAACCAGCCAAGUCGCGUGAGGGAAUAAGGCCCUACGGGUCGUAAACCUCUUUUGCCGGGGAGCAAGGGCGGGGACGUGUCCCGGCCCGGAGAGUACCCGGAGAAAAAGCAUCGGCUAACUCCGUGCCAGCAGCCGCGGUAAUACGGAGGAUGCGAGCGUUAUCCGGAUUUAUUGGGUUUAAAGGGGGCGUAGGCGGGACGGUAAGUCAGCGGUAAAAAUGCGG